AGUGUCGGGGUUCAUGGUUGGGAGAUGGCCGGCGCCUGUAGUGGGUUGUCGGUGGGUGCAUACAACGAACGCUGGUCAGCUGGGAUGACACGUUGACCGAUGAAAUCGCCGAACACACUGUUGGGUCCUGAGACAACAGGCCCGUUCGCUUCCUCCUUUUGGGGUGGGAGACAUCGUCCCGUUGGGGAUGGUGGGGGUUGUUGUUGCCUCACCGGUUUUGGUGGUGGGGUGUGGUGUUUGACUUGUGGAUAGUGGUUGCGAGCAUCUAAUGCGCAACGAAUGGUUGCCGGCGGCUUUCGGGUCGUUGGUUUCUUGUUCUGUUGUGUGUUGAUGUGCAAUUUUGAUUCUUGUUUUCAAUUGGUUUUUUGUGUCGUAAGUGUCUAAG
rnacentral:misc_RNA from 1 species